AUCCCGGACCUCAAUUUUGAUACCAAGUUAUAUUUAGUACAGAAGAGAAGAAGAAGAAGAAGAAGAAGAAGAAGAAGAAGAAGAGAAACAAUAUCCAGCAGUGGAUAAAGAAGCAAUGGCGCCUCUUUCGCUGGUGCUUAGCAUGCAACCAAUGGAUUUGACGAGUCCCUUUCCUUCUUUUUGUCUUACAUUUCUUUGUUUGUAUGGCUAUGCGAAAUGGCCAAUUUCCAUGACACAUUUGCUUUCACUU